GACGAACGCUGGCGGCGUGCUUAACACAUGCAAGUCGAACGGAAAGGCCCUGCUUUUGUGGGGUGCUCGAGUGGCGAACGGGUGAGUAACACGUGAGUAACCUGCCCUCGACUUUGGGAUAACUUCAGGAAACUGGGGCUAAUACCGGAUAGGAGCUCCUGCUGCAUGGUGGGGGUUGGAAAGUUUCGGCGGUUGGGGAUGGACUCGCGGCUUAUCAGCUUGUUGGUGGGGUAGUGGCUUACCAAGGCUUUGACGGGUAGCCGGCCUGAGAGGGUGACCGGCCACAUUGGGACUGAGAUACGGCCCAGCCUCCUACGGGAGGCAGCAGUGGGGAAUAUUGCACAAUGGGCGGAAGCCUGAUGCAGCAACGCCGCGUGCGGGAUGACGGCCUUCGGGUUGUAAACCGCUUUCGCCUGUGACGAAGCGUGAGUGACGGUAAUGGGUAAAGAAGCACCGGCUAACUACGUG
rnacentral:rRNA from 1 species